rnacentral:lncRNA from 1 species
UUAAAUCAUUGCUCUUGAUCAGAAUUUCCUUCUCUGGUUUCCUUUAGAUUCAGUUUCUAGCCGACUCUCCAAGGUUGGAAAGUGUUCAGGGGGUUUGAUUUACUGAGCUGUGGGGGAGAGAUCCUGCUGCGCCCAUAGAGGAGAUGGUAAUUCUUUGAAAAAAGGAUUGUUCAACUCCAACAGAGAGAAGCUCCAGAAUCCCUCCUUGCAAUGAGGAACAACAUUUAAACAAAGCCAGAAAAAACAGAAUUCUAUCUAACAGCCUAAGCAUAGUCCUCUCCUGAGAGGAGGGGUGUGGAUUUCAUUAUCAAUUCUAAAGGAAAAGAAAAAUAAAAGUCAUCUAUGAUGAUUCUGAUGGUACAGAAAGGGCAUGAAAAGAUGAAGAAAAGUACUCCACAGGAUAUGUUCCAGUGCCCACUGGGAGACCUCCAAUGCGCAGGAGGCUGGUGGCAGCUGAGUCAAACUAUCUUCUUCCAAAGUGAAUGGGUUUUAGGCCCCGGCCAUGAAUCUGGAGAAAGGGAAGGAAUAGAAACAGAACCUCUUUCAUGGCUGAGUGAUUAAGAAAAGAUACCCACCAUGGGCUAAAUGUUAGGCUAGAUGGGAUGAUACAAAC